CUGAGGGUGACCCCCUCCCCUGCUGGCCUAAACUGCAUGGUAUGCUUGUGCUUGUUGGGUGACCCCCUCUUGCACGCUGGGUGACCCCCAGCUGGCCGCACCACUGUACCUACAGUGUCCGAUUAUGUUCAGACUGAGGGUGACCCCCUCCCCUGCUGGCCUAUACUGCAUGGUAUGCAUGGUAUGCUUGUGCUUGUUGGGUGACCCCCUCUUGCACACUGGGUGACCCCCAGCUGGCCGCACCAGGUAUCAUUUGUGCAAUCACGGCUGAAGGACAGGACACCACAAACACCUGACACGGGGUUUGCACUCUAUCUGGGACUAACCAGUGGGUGUCGGUGACACGCGGAAACAGAUGUUUCCUUGGGACGAACGGCACGUUACCGCUUGGAAAGCGGAGAAGACUAAAUUCCCACUGGGAACGGACCGAUAUGACUUAUAGGUAUCGCCUAGUUGGUUUCUAUCCCUGAGAACCGCAAAACGGCCCCUGUCCAAGCUGGACAUCAAACUGAUGGAUUUAGCAUCCAAGUGCUGGGUCUGCUCUCCGGAGUUACCCUCGUCUACAAAUUGAGCCGACAUGUCUCUAUUCAUAGGGUUCCCCCUUAACUAGCCCAGAGGUCUCUCUGGCCGUGCCCGGACUCCAGAUCAAGGUUGCGGAACCUUGGACCGUUCCAUGAGCGAUACGCAUGACCAAAAGAGGCAUCCAUUCCGACUCAUUCCGCAGUUGCCCUGCUGGGCAAAGGGUGCGGUGGAGUGGACUCCCGCCCCAUCCCCACGCUACAUGCUCCCAGUGCAUGUCGUCUGUUGACACAUUUUGAGACGGAGGGCACUCAUCCCCUCUGAGAGCUGCUCGGCGUUGACGAUUGGUUCUCUCCCUCAAAUGCACAUGAGAGAAACCCGCAUGGAUUUUGCCAUCUACAUGGACAUAUUGAAUCUGACUCACUCCAAGUCAACCCAGUUUCCGGUCUUUCAUGGAAUAUUCGGUCCAGGCGGUGCUCCGCCUCCCGAGGACCAAGAUGUCUGUCUUCAAGGAAAAUACCAGGUAUAUGCUUCGCAACCUGCGGGUUACACUUAGGGGCCCAACCCGGUUAAUUGACCGGUGCCUAUUCGCCAUGGAAGCCAUACCUCAAGGAUCCGGUACUAUCAGCCGCUCCAACAUGGCGCUUUCUCGGGUCUUUGGCCUGGUAU